UGUCAAAACGACUCUCGGCAACGGAUAUCUCGGCUCUCGCAUCGAUGAAGAACGUAGCGAAAUGCGAUACUUGGUGUGAAUUGCAGAAUCCCGUGAACCAUCGAGUCUUUGAACGCAAGUUGCGCCCGAAGCCAUCAGGCCAGGGCACGUCUGCCUGGGCGUCACGC
rnacentral:rRNA from 1 species